rnacentral:rRNA from 1 species
UACGUAGGGUGCAAGCGUUGUCCGGAAUUAUUGGGCGUAAAGAGCUCGUAGGCGGUUUGUCGCGUCUGCUGUGAAAACUCGGGGCUUAACCCCGGGCCUGCAGUGGGUACGGGCAGACUAGAGUGCGGUAGGGGAGACUGGAAUUCCUGGUGUAGCGGUGAAAUGCGCAGAUAUCAGGAGGAACACCAACGGCGUAGGCAGCGCCCUAGACGAGACCUGACGCUCAGGCACGAAAGCGCGGGGAGCGAACAGG